UUUUAUGUUUCGCUUUGUCAUGAUUUUAGAGCCAUUACAUUAUUGCAUACUGCCACGUUCAUUGCUACGUUUUAUAACCUGAAUCUCAUUGGUAAUCGUACCAAGUAUUUUGUAGUCUUUAAAGCAAUUCAGAUAGCCCCAGUCUUGGCCGAAUAAUGUAAAUAUAUUAAGAAUUCCGAAAUAACGCAGCUAUACUGCUUGGAGUGAUGUGCCAAUGCUUAGAGUGGAGUGUAAAUCGAGCACGCGUUGUGUCCUAACAGGUUGAAGCUGCAGUUUGUGACCCAUACAACAAAAAUACUCUAAUGGUCAACUUAAGGAAUGAACACGCAAUAUCAAAACAUUGAUUGGAGCAAAACCACAACCUCAGCCUUGUACAUAGUGGACGUGUUGUGUCCUCACAGGUUGAAGCUGCAGUUUGUGACCCAUACAACAAAAAUAUUCUAAUGGCCAACUUAAGGAAUGAACACGCAAGAUCAGUAGAUUGACAAACGAAAUACGCAGACAUCAGCAGCAUGCAGACAGGGUCGAUGAACUGAAACCUCUCGUGUGGUUUAGGAAAAACGUGAACUGAGCAAGAAUUAAGCAUAUUGCAGUAAAAUACAAUUGCUAAAGUAUUUACCUACCUCCUACUUCAACGCUUUGCUGUAAGGUGUUCAGUUAAACAGAAGUGAGAACGAUUAGUGUUCAUCAAAUGGAAGCGGAACCAUCUUCCUGACCCUGGUCUGGUGCUGCUGCAAAAAUCACCGGAGCUGGAUUUGAGUUUAUUUCAAGUGAGACAGAGCCAGUCUGCCUGUUACCUAUUGUAAAUUUAAUUAGUUUUAUUUUUUUGUAUAGUUUAUUAUUCAUAUUUGAUUUAUUGAGUUGUUUUUUGUUUUAUACCUAAUGUUACAUGCAAUGUAAAGAUUGGGGGUGCAACUAGCGUGCUAGCCACAAGAGAAAGGCUGCCCACUACCCAGCCAUCUGUCGAAAAAUCCCUCAGAUAGGCCAUAGUGCUUAUUGGGGCUCGGUAGAUAUCCGUUGGGGGCUUAGAUAUCCCUAGUCUCCAGACUGACCUCCUAAAUGUUGUAGCUAACUGCGGCGCGCGCCUGAGAGUCACCUGUAAUCCUAUUACACCAUCAUUCUUCUAGCAACCUUCCUCCAUUGGAAGAGAAUACAGCAAAGGGUUACAUAACGGUUGCACUCCCUUUUCCACAGCUUCGAUAUUAAUGCCUUGAGAUUGAGAACCCUACGCUCUUGUUUCUCCCGGUGAUCAAAUGGCCGUCACGUGAAGCAAUUGUUUUUUUUUGUGAAACUUUAUUAACCUUGUUUUCAAUCAUUUUAAUAAAGAAUUAUCUAAAAGAAUCUUUGUAAUUUAUUUAAACUAGAUACCUACAUAAU